ACCGUACCCAAGGCGAUGAUGCAUAGCCGAGUUGAGAGACUGAUCGGCCACAUUGGGGACUGAGACACGGCCCAAACUCCUACGGGAGGCAGCAGUAGGGAAUCUUCCACAAUGGACGCAAGUCUGAUGGAGCAACGCCGCGUGAGUGAAGAAGGGUUUCGGCUCGUAAAGCUCUGUUGUUGGUGAAGAAGGACAGGGGGUAGUAACUGACCUUUGUUUGACGGUAAUCAAUUAGAAAGUCACGGCUAACUACGUGCCAGCAGCCGCGGUAAU
rnacentral:rRNA from 1 species